rnacentral:rRNA from 1 species
CGGACUGUAGGCUGCAACUCGCCACACGAAGUUGGAAUUGCUAGUAAUCGUGGAUCAGCAUGCCACGGUGAAUACGUUCCCGGGUCUUGUACACACCGCCCGUCACACCAUGGGAGCUGGUAACACCCGAAGUCAGUAGUCUAACCGCAAGGAGGACGCUGCCGAAGGUGGGAUUAGCGACUGGGGUGAAGUCGUAACAAGGUAGC